rnacentral:lncRNA from 1 species
UUCUAUUUGUGCCCGAAUACCAAAGCUUAAACCCUGAGUUUUCUAGAUCCUUUGCCUUAAGACCAACCCACUUAGUUUCUUGUAGGCACAUAAUAUUUAUCCUUCUCCUCACCAUAACUUCCACUACUUCCAUAGAUUUUCCCGUUAAGGUUCCUAUAUUCCACGUUCCUAAACGCAUUCUACUCUCUUGAACUCUACCCUUCUGUCCUAACUUCUUCACCAUCCCCCGUCUAAUAGGAUCAAAGUACUUCUUUUGUGUGUCCUGUGUAAAGUUGAUAGGAGCAUAUGCUCCCAAACAACUUUGAGUGGAGUCGUUCAAAAAGAUGUUUCUAUGGCCCCCUUGCUCAUUU